AGAUGAGCACGGCGUUAACAAAGGCUGCAAAAAGCGGCGUGCCCAUCCCAUCCAUCCCAUCCAUCUCAUCCCAUCCCAUCCCAUCCCGCCCCGCCGUGCCCCGAGGAACGGCCGCUCACCUCUCAUUGUCCACGCUCCUGAAGCCAGGAGGAUAAUCGCAGCCUGACUUCUAUCCAUUCUGUUAUUUGUCCGUGCUAUUUAAACGCUCCUUCCCCACCCAGCGCAUUCACAGGACACAUCCUGUCCUCCUCGGGUUGCCGGAUGCCCCGGGGCAGUCUGUGCGGCACUUGUUGUGGAGAGCAUGACUGCAUUAAACUACUACAAGGGCCAUAAAAAGCUGAGGGGGAGUUCAGGCAUCAAAUGUGUUUCCUGGAAGCCCGAGAACUGAAGUAAUCCACUGAGUGGCCUCCUGGCACUGAUACAAGAAAGGAGGGAAUUUCAUGUACAGCACUGACCUUUACGGAUCAAAUAUUUUGUAUUUGUUCAGAGGGAGAGACUGAAACGUUCGCCCCCAGCCAGCACACGCCCCUGGUCCUUGAUGAGAGAACUACCAAAACGUUCAGCAAGCCAAAGCUCUCUGGUAAUGCAACCAGAAACUGGGAAUGUCUGCCUGCACCAGCACUAAUGACACCUGCAGUGCCCACAAGGAACAGCAGUGCACUGACAGUCUGAGUGCAGGAAUGCAACUGCCAAAAAGGAUCGUGCACACAGCUGCAAUUCAACAGCCAUCGUUAUUCAGGGAUCACCCCACUCUUCAGUUUGGAUUCUUUUGUUCUCCUAUUAAAACAAAACCACACUACUCUGGAUUAUUUGUUCACAUUUCCAUAAUUAUCAUACUGUCAACAUUUCAUAUCUAACCCAGACACAUAAAUAUUCCUUAGGAAGGUGGGAGAAGGGUAAUUGAGCAAUCAGGGAUGAAUGAUGCAGAAAGAGAGAUACAAGCAGAAUGCAAGUAACCUUGAAGAACAAAAACAGUUAUUUACCCAAAGAGAAGAACAACAAGAAACAGACUGCCAAGGUGAAGCCAAGCAAGGAUGUCACCUGGGGGAGAAAUUCAAUGGGAUAAAACAGUUUCCUUAUUUAACUGGUACAAUGGAGAGACUGCUCAUAUACAAAACUUCUUUGCCUGUUCUUUAGCAGGAACAACCCUGAGAGAGGCACAGCACGUCCUGUGAGGUGCUGAGCACUGCCAGCAUCACAUGGGGAGCAGAAGUGACACCAGGUGCUGCUGUGCCGGAGCUGUUUCCCUUCAUCACACAGCCUGGAGAAGCCCUGAGUCCUGUGGGUAGGGAUGCAGUUUCGCUCCUCAAACUGUCACUAACUAAAACAAGCUCACUCCCCCAGUUUAGGCUUUAAGAGCGAUUUUUGUUCCAAAAACUCAAAGCUGAGAUAUUUAUUUUAAUUUAUUUUACUGCAGUUAAUUGCUUGCGUGUUAAACCACGUAAAUCUGGACUCUGAAAGCCACUCAGAAUGGCUGGCUGUCCCAUACACACCGAGCUGCAUUCCGGCAAUUGCCAAACCAAUACUGAAAGGGCUUCUUUCUAAUGCACACUCGUGCUGAUGCAGGCAGGACCUGUGAACCAACGGCUGCAGGCUGCAUGCAUUUGUGGAACCUCACAUGUGAGGCUGGAGGAGCUGAGCGAUCGCCUUGUCUGUAGUUUAGGAAUGGCCCUUCUUAUCUGCAGAGUGGUGGGCAUGCCUGUGAUUCUUCUGGACACAGCUUCUCAAAAAGCACAGCCCCACAGGCCUGGCAUCCAACGCAUUGCCAAGGAAGCACCCAGAUUUCAACUAGAUACCCAGCAGCAGGUAUAAAGCCGCAGGUGAAAGAUAACUUCUGGACUCCUAAGAUGUCCCACAGCAAUUUUCUAUGUGUCUUUUUUAAGGACUCAUCCUCUCCGGGUUAACCUCACGAGAGUGAAGUGUCUGCAAACAGAACCCCCAACUCCAGGAGGUACACAGCUGAACUGCUAUUAAACACUGGGAACAUCUCCAGUGGGCUUUCCUUGCUUAUAUGAUAUAGGGAGUUUUAAGUAUUCGACUUUCAUUAAAUGCAAUGAGUUUCACAUUUA